rnacentral:rRNA from 1 species
AGUGAACGCUGGCGGUAGGCCUAACACAUGCAAGUCGAACGGCAGCACAGUAAGAGCUUGCUCUUACGGGUGGCGAGUGGCGGACGGGUGAGGAAUACAUCGGAAUCUACUUUUUCGUGGGGGAUAACGUAGGGAAACUUACGCUAAUACCGCAUACGACCUACGGGUGAAAGCAGGGGAUCUUCGGACCUUGCGCGAUUGAAUGAGCCGAUGUCGGAUUAGCUAGUUGGCGGGGUAAAGGCCCACCAAGGCGACGAUCCGUAGCUGGUCUGAGAGGAUGAUCAGCCACACUGGAACUGAGACACGGUCCAGACUCCUACGGGAGGCAGCAGUGGGGAAGAUUGGACAAUGGGCGCAAGCCUGAUCCAGCCAUACCGCGUGGGUGAAGAAGGCCUUCGGGUUGUAAAGCCCUUUUGUUGGGAAAGAAAAGCAGCAGGUUAAUACCCCGCUGUUCUGACGGUACCCAAAGAAUAAGCACCGGCUGACUUCGUG